UAAACGAUGUCAACUAGCUGUUGGGGCCUUCGGGCCUUGGUAGCGCAGCUAACGCGUGAAGUUGACCGCCUGGGGAGUACGGUCGCAAGAUUAAAACUCAAAGGAAUUGACGGGGACCCGCACAAGCGGUGGAUGAUGUGGAUUAAUUCGAUGCAACGCGAAAAACCUUACCUACCCUUGACAUGUCUGGAAUCCCGAAGAGAUUUGGGAGUGCUCGCAAGAGAACCGGAACACAGGUGCUGCAUGGCUGUCGUCAGCUCGUGUCGUGAGAUGUUGGGUUAAGUCCCGCAACGAGCGCAACCCUUGUCAUUAGUUGCUACGAAAGGGCACUCUAAUGAGACUGCCGGUGACAAACCGGAGGAAGGUGGGGAUGACGUCAAGUCCUCAUGGCCCUUAUGGGUAGGGCUUCACACGUCAUACAAUGGUCGGGACAGAGGGUCGCCAACCCGCGAGGGGGAGCCAAUCCCAGAAACCCGAUCGUAGUCCGGAUCGCAGUCUGCAACUCGACUGCGUGAAGUCGGAAUCGCUAGUAAUCGCGGAUCAGCAUGUCGCGGUGAAUACGUUCCCGGGUCUUGUACACACCGCCCGUCACACCAUGGGAGUGGGUUUUACCAGAAGUAGUUAGCCUAACCGCAAGGGGGGCGAUUACCACGGUAG
rnacentral:rRNA from 1 species